AACGAACGCUGGCGGCAGGCUUAACACAUGCAAGUCGAACGGAUCCUUCGGGAUUAGUGGCGGACGGGUGAGUAACGCGUGGGAACGUACCCUUUGCUACGGAAUAACUCAGGGAAACUUGAGCUAAUACCGCAUGUGCCCUACGGGGGAAAGAUUUAUCGGCAAAGGAUCGGCCCGCGUUGGAUUAGCUAGUUGGUGGGGUAAUGGCCUACCAAGGCGACGAUCCAUAGCUGGUCUGAGAGGAUGCUCAGCCACACUGGGACUGCGACACGGCCCAGACUCGUACGGGAGGCAGCAGUGGGGAAUAUUGGACAAUGGGCGCAAGCCUGAUCCAGCCAUGCCGCGUGAGUGAUGAAGGUCUUAGGAUUGUAAAGCUCUUUCACCGGUGAAGAUAAUGACGGUAGCCGGAGAAGAAGCCCCGGCUAACUUCGUG
rnacentral:rRNA from 1 species